rnacentral:rRNA from 1 species
GAUGAACGCUGACAGAAUGCUUAACACAUGCAAGUCAACUUGAAUUUGGGUUUUUAACUUAGGUUUGGGUGGCGGACGGGUGAGUAACGCGUAAAGAACUUGCCUCACAGCUAGGGACAACAUUUGGAAACGAAUGCUAAUACCUAAUAUUAUGAUAAUAGGGCAUCCUAUAAUUAUGAAAGCUAUAAGCGCUGUGAGAGAGCUUUGCGUCCCAUUAGCUAGUUGGAGAGGUAACGGCUCACCAAGGCGAUGAUGGGUAGCCGGCCUGAGAGGGUGAUCGGCCACAAGGGGACUGAGACACGGCCCGUACUCCUACGGGAGGCAGCAGUGGGGAAUAUUGGACAAUGGACCAAGAGUCUGAUGCAGCAAUUCUGUGUGCAAGAUGAAGUUUUUCGGAAUGUAAAGUGCUUUCAGUUGGGAAGAAAGAAAUGACGGUACCAACAGAAGAAGUGACGGCUAAAUACGUG